rnacentral:rRNA from 1 species
CAAUGCCGCGUGAGUGAAGAAGGCCUUUGGGUUGUAAAGCUCUUUUGUAGGGGAAGAUAAUGACUGUACCCUAAGAAUAAGGUCCGGCUAACUUCGUGCCAGCAGCCGCGGUAAUACGAAGGGACCUAACGUAGUUCGGAAUUACUGGGCGUAAAGCGCGCGUAGGCCGUUGAGUUAGUUAAUUGUGAAAUCCCAAAGCUUAACUUUGGAACUGCCAUUAAAACUGCUCGACUAGAGUUUGAUAGAGGAAAGCGGAAUACAUAGUGUAGAGGUGAAAUUCGUAGAUAUUAUGUAGAACACCAGUUGCGAAGGCGGCUUUCUGGGUCAACACUGACGCUGAGGCGCGAAACGUAUGGGUAGCAAAGAGGAUUAGAUACCCUCGUAGUCCAUACCAUAAACGAUGAUUGCUAGAUG